rnacentral:rRNA from 1 species
AUUGAACGCUGGCGGCAGGCCUAACCCAUGCAAGUCGAGCGAGCGACGGACGGGUGAGUAAUGUCUGGGAAACUGCCUGAUGGAGGGGGAUAACUCCUGGAAACGGUAGAUAAUACCGCAUACCAUCAGAUGUGCCCCGAUGUGAUUAGCUAGUAGGUGGGGUAACGGCUCACCUAGGCGACGAUCCCUAGCUGGUCUGAGAGGAUGACCAGCCAAACUGGAACUGGGACAAGGUCCAGACUCCUACGGGGGGCAGCAGUGGGGAAUAUUGCACAAUGGGCGCAAGCCUGAUGCAGCCAUGCCGCGGGUGUGAAGAAGGCCUUCGGGUUGUAAAGCACUUUCAGCCGGGAGGCGUUACCCGCAGAAGAAGCACCGGCUAACUCCGUGCCAGCAGCCGCGGUAAUAC